UGUUUCUAUCACUCUCAAAUGCAGUCCCAGAUGUUACUCCCUUUAACAGCACAUCAAGAAUGUACUGAUUUUCAAAUAUAUGUGUUUGGGUUACUCAAAAAAGGAAAGUAAAAGAAAAGAAAACCACAGUAAAGCAUGUUAUGCACCAACAAGAAGAAGGAGAUGUGACCACAUGGUGUACCCCAGAGGUGGCUGUCAGGAGAACUACAGUUGAGCUUACAGGCACUGGGCCUAUAAAAAACCAAUGGUAAUGUUUUAUUUUAAUUAUGGGUCUGAAUGUGUUUCAUUUAUUCUUUCAGUGGCUUCAAUCUCAUAUUGGUCACUAGGGCCAUAAAAUAUGUAGUAUGGUUUAUAAUCCACAGUGCCCUUUGUUGCUUUUGGAGUAAGCGGAAGGCCGCUCAUACAGUGCAUUGUGCAAACAGGCCUAGUAAUCUUCCUCUUGCAUGAGCAGCUGUUGGUUAAAACACAAUGUGUUUUCUGCUGCUGUGUUACUGGGAUGCCUCAUGCAGGCAAGACUAAAUUCCAAAGCAAAUGCUCCAACAGAAGCAGUAUGCACUGUGAUGUCAGCUGAUGCACGGCUCUGGCCCUUGGCACCAAGAAAGAAGAGUCCACAGAAGACCAUCCAGCCCACAGAUCUCAGAGACCUGAGUCAGCUGGCAGAUGGUGUGGAGCACAUAGUUCUGCUAUUAAGAGCUGAGGAAGUUUAAAGAGCCAUGAAGAGACCCCAAGUUCUACGGGUUGGGAACUGCAGUGAGUGAGCUCAUGCACUUUAAGCACCUUGGAAAUGUUGAAGUUUAAAACAGAAAGCCCACCUCAACA